rnacentral:tRNA from 1 species
GGAGAGGUGGCUCAGAGGUUAAGAGCACUGACUCUUCCAGAGGUCCUGAGUUCAAUUCCCAGCAACCCCA